GUGCAAUAGUGCUAGAAGGCGACAAAGUGUGGCAUCUCAAGAAAAGAACGCAGGAAAAGCAUCAAAAAGAAAAAAAAAAUGUUAAUUGGAAGAAGAAAGAGCUAAAUCAUAGCCCCGUGGCUCAAAUCCCCACAAAGUUCAUUAAAAAUUGGUAAAGAAAGCAAUAUAGAUGGGUACCUUAGAUACACCUAAAAUCCACAGCUUGUUCGAUAAUGACUCCUAUUUCUAUGCUAAAUACACUUGUGGCGUGCUGUUACUUUGGGUUAUAAUCAUAGCAAAAUUUUAAGAUAAGUUCCAGUGUCAACAUCAAUUUUGCAAUCGUUUUGGGAGCCCAAUUAAAUACUAUUUUAGGAAUAGUAGGAAAAAUACCAUAAGCCUGUGGAAUGGAAGAAGCUGGCUGGACCUGGAGCCCACGCCCCCCCAUCUUCACUAACAAGUUUUUGGACUCAUAAUUGCAUACACCUACAUACAAUAUUGACAUAGCUAUGCUCAUCCAAAAUUUGACAACUCCCAGUGGGAAAAGACAUAAAAGCCACACUUAAGCACCAAGUGCUCAAAUGCUGUACUGUACUCUCGUUUGCCCAUACAUCAAUACUUCUCCAAGACAUUUCCACUAUCUGAUGCAUCACCCACUGAUACUGCUUUUAAAUAAGGCCGAAAAACUUGAGAUAAUUUUUGUAUACAAAAACAGUAUACGAAAAUAUAUUAUUACACAUUUUUAACAACCUUAACCAAAAUAUGCAUUUUCCCACAGACCCACCAAAAGAAAGAAAAUUUAUAGAUAUCCCAAAUUACAAAAACAAAAUACAUUACUGAUCUAGUGCAUUAGAGCCAGUGCAGUAACUGACCACAUGACUCCACAACCACUGUACCAAGUACCUCCGUCUUAUUCCAUUCAUAUUAUACGUAGCACCAUCAUGUCCCUCCAAUAGUUGCCCUGUGUACGACCCACCCCCUCCUGUUCCGUAAAUACCCUCGCAUAAAUCCGCUAUCUCCACAGGCGAAGUUGGGUCCUGCCCGGCGUACCAUGCGUUCACCAACGGGUUCGUUGCCAGCUCAGCAAUCUCGUGACCGAUCACGCUGAUCAUCCCAUCCACUCCUACGUCGCCGUUGGGUGACUUUUUUGGCUUUAGCCCAGGGAUAUAGUUUGGUACGGCGAAUGGGUAGGCACACACUCCUGGGCAUAGCUUCGCGCUAUUGCCCACCCAUGCGUACGGGAGCGUAUACCCCACAAUCGACGGGAAUGUGAAAUAGUGGAAUCCACAGACCUGUCCACAGAAAUCCUGGACGUACACGUCAUCGGACGUGAGCAACAGAUAUAACCCACUUUUCGGAUUUAUUGGCAACGGCUUUGAUCUAGCUGUGACCGCACUUUUAAUCACAGACUGUAUAGAUAACCUCGUUAGCGAUUUCCCGUGGGAAUAAAACCGGUCGUUUUUCUCCUCUCCUAAGCGAACCGUUCGUGAGAUGUUCGCGCCGGUUUGAUCGGUGUAAAGUUGUACGGUCUUCCACCAUCCGGCGACAGAAGGGUGGGUGGAACGAAUGGCUGAGAUGGAGUUAAUGAACUCGCGUAUGAUCUUCUUCUGAGACUUCUGCCACGUGCCGUACCAUAUUGUGUGUACGGUGAUGUUAGCAGUGAGAACCGGACCCAUAUGGUAACGCAAGUGAACGAACUCAGAAGAGCCCUCGAAUUUCUUAGACCCAGCAUACAGGUCAGAUGAGUUGGUGCGUAGGUGAGGCCAUGGGCGCCACCCGAAAACGGGAGAGAAGGCGCAGAGAAGGGAAAAUACGGUGAGGACGGGCAGCAGCGAAAUGGGUGGGGGUACCAGUCUCAUGGUAGUGGAAGUGAGGGUUUUGCCAAUAGCGCGAACAAGGACCGAUUGUUUAGCAGCUCACAAGGGCAUUGUAUAUAUAGAGAGAAAGGUAUAGUGAUAGAAGAAGACAAUAUUGUAAAUAAAAUAAAAUGAGAUAUUUGAAAAUUUGAACGAGGCGUUGAUUUGCGGGUAAUGGAAGACAGAUAGAUUUUAUAAAGUGAAGGGAGGAGCAGAGGAGAGUGAUUAGGGAAACUGGGGCCCAACAGUUAGAGGCACGAGGGAUCAUCACCAUCAUGAUAGCGGUCGUCGUCA
rnacentral:misc_RNA from 1 species